AACGCGAAGAACCUUACCUGGACUCGAAAUCUAGUUGACAGUCUCAGAGAUGAGAUCUUCCCGCAAGGGACGGCUGGAUAGGUGCUGCAUGGCUGUCGUCAGCUCGUGUCGUGAGAUGUUGGGUUAAGUCCCGCAACGAGCGCAACCCUUACCCUUAGUUGCUAAUCCGCAAGGAAAGCACCCUAAGGGAACUGCCUCGGAUAACGAGGAGGAAGGUGGGGAUGACGUCAAGUCCUCAUGGCCUUUAUGCCCAGGGCUACACACGUGCUACAAUGGCCGGUACAAACCGUCGCAGACCCGCGAGGGGAAGCCAAUCGGAAAAAACCGGUCUCAGUUCGGAUUGCAGGCUGCAACUCGCCUGCAUGAAGCUGGAAUCGCUAGUAAUCGCGUAUCAGAACGACGCGGUGAAUACGUUCCCGGGCCUUGUACACACCGGAGUGC
rnacentral:rRNA from 1 species